GAUGAACGCUAGCUACAGGCUUAACACAUGCAAGUCGAGGGGCAGCAUGGUCUUAGCUUGCUAAGGCCGAUGGCGACCGGCGCACGGGUGAGUAACACGUAUCCAACCUGCCGUCUACUCUUGGACAGCCUUCUGAAAGGAAGAUUAAUACAAGAUGGCAUCAUGAGUCCGCAUGUUCACAUGAUUAAAGGUAUUCCGGUAGACGAUGGGGAUGCGUUCCAUUAGAUAGUAGGCGGGGUAACGGCCCACCUAGUCUUCGAUGGAUAGGGGUUCUGAGAGGAAGGUCCCCCCACAUUGGAACUGAGACACGGUCCAAACUCCUACGGGAGGCAGCAGUGAGGAAUAUUGGUCAAUGGGCGAGAGCCUGAACCAGCCAAGUAGCGUGAAGGAUGAAGGUCCUACGGAUUGAAACUUCUUUAUACGGGAAUAAAGUAUCCUACGUGUAGGAUUUUGUAUGUACCGUAUGAAUAAGCAUCGGCUAACUCCGUGCCAG
rnacentral:rRNA from 1 species